GAUGAGAACGUAGCGAAAUGCGAUAAGUAAUGUGAAUUGCAGAAUUCAGUGAAUCAUCGAAUCUUUGAACGCACAUUGCGCCCAUUAGUAUUCUAGUUGGCAUGCCUGUUCGAGCGUCAUUAAGUCCACUUAAGCCCUGCUUAGUGUUGGGAGACUGCUCCAGCGGUGCUACCCUGUAGCUACCCUGCAGCUCCUCAAAGACAGCGGCGGAGUUGUGGUAUCCUCUGAGCUUAGUAACUUGUUCUAGCUUUCGAGUACACCACUUCCCCUGCCGUAAAACCCUUAAUUUUUAAUGGUUGACCUCGGAUCAGGUAGGAAUACCCGCUGAACUUAAGCAUAUCAAUAAGCGGAGGA
rnacentral:misc_RNA from 1 species